UACAUGGGGUGCAAACGUUGCUCGGAAUCAUUGGGCGUAAAGAGCGCGCAGGCGGUCGUUCAAGUCGAGUGUGAAAGCCCCCGGCUCAACUGGGGAGGGUCACUCGAUACUGAUCGACUUGAAGGCGGGAGAGGGAAGCGGAAUUCCCGGUGUAGUGGUGAAAUGCGUAGAUAUCGGGAGGAACACCAGUGGCGAAGGCGGCUUUCUGGCCCGUUCUUGACGCUGAGGCGCGAAAGCUAGGGUAGCAAACGGG
rnacentral:rRNA from 1 species